AGGAACUAAACACAAGAACUCAGGAUCUGGGUCAGGAAGCAGCUCAACACAAUGGAAAACCCAGAGUGUCCUUAGAGUUGUAACAAUUACUGCCAUAGAAGCUCUACUUGCUGAUUGAAGGCAAGAGGACUCAGGUCAUUACUGGGAACAACAGCAACACUACUCUGCAAUAGACAUAAGAGAGGCUAGAAGCUGGGCUGAAAAUGCAGACCACCUUUUCAAGGCUGCCUGCAUUGCUAUUAGCAAUUCUUAAGACAGAAGUUUUCACAAACAGUAGGAAGAGAAAAGGUGGCCUCUUUACAUGGAAGGUAUGUUCUUGGGAAGAGAGAUGGUUGUCAAACAUUUACCAGCACACCAUUGCACCAAUUCUCUAGGGAUGGAACCAGGACAGUGGAUUUCAAGCAGUUCUCACAGGAGCUGAAAAAUCUAAGACCUGCUACUAGAAACAUUUCCCCCCCUUGGAUCUGAUGCCCUGAAAACCAUCUGAAAAUUUUGGUUGGAACUUUAAUGAAUGCAAAUCAACUGACUAGGUCACUUGCUUGUGUUGCUGUCUUUGUGGAGUCCCCACUGGCUUAGGAGAGCUCAGCUUGUACCUGGGAUGAAAAGGUAAAGGGAUUUCUGAUUUUCAGGAAAGUAAUUACAUGAAUUUUGGAUAAGAUACAAUGAAAAUGCAGUAGUGUACAAGAAAUUAAAAUAUUACUUAUGUAUGUCAAUAUCUUCAAUGUUCUUGUUAUCUCUGAACUAAGUCAUACAGAACCUGUCAUGACUUCAUGUUGUCACACAAUCCAAGUUAUGUUAUAUUCUGUAGCUUAGGAAUGAUAAAAGCUGUCAUUAAAUAAGUAA